UGGGGAAUCUUGCGCAAUGGGCGAAAGCCUGACGCAGCGAUGCCGCGUGCGGGAAGACGGCCUUCGGGUUGUAAACCGCUUUCAGCAGGGACGCGGUACCUGCAGAAGAAGCUCCGGCCAACUACGUGCCAGCAGCCGCGGUAAGACGUAGGGGGCGAGCGUUGUCCGGAAUUAUUGGGCGUAAAGGGCUCCUAGGCGGUUCAGUAAGUCGACUGUGAAAAUCCAAGGCUCAACCUUGGGACGCCAGUCGAUACUGCUGGACUCGAGUUCGGUAGAGGAGUGUGGAAUUCCUGGUGUAGCGGUGAAAUGCGCAGAUAUCAGGAGGAACACCAACGGCGAAGGCAGCACUCUGGGCCGAUACUGACGCUGAAGAGCG
rnacentral:rRNA from 1 species